GUGAGGAAUAUUGGUCAAUGGACGCAAGCCUGAACCAGCCAUGCCGCGUGAAGGAUUGACGGCCCUAUGGGUUGUAAACUUCUUUUGUAUAGGAAUAAACCCUCGUUCGUGAACGAGGCUGAAGGUACUAUAAGAAUAAGCACCGGCUAACUCCGUGCCAGCAGCCGCGGUAAUACGGAGGGUGCAAGCGUUAUCCGGAUUUAUUGGGUUUAAAGGGUCCGUAGGCGGAUCGUUAAGUCAGUGGUGAAAUCCUACCGCUCAACGGUAGAACUGCCAUUGAUACUGGCGAUCUUGAGUAUGUAUGAAGUUGGCGGAAUGUGUGGUGUAGCGGUGAAAUGCUUAGAUAUCACACAGAACACCGAUUGCGAAGGCAGCUGACUAAUACACAACUGACGCUGAGGGACGAAAGUGUGGGGAUCAAACAGGAUUAGAUACCCUAGUAGUCC
rnacentral:rRNA from 1 species